GAUGGAGAACGUAGCGAAAUGCGAUAAGUAAUGUGAAUUGCAGAAUUCAGUGAAUCAUCGAAUCUUUGAACGCACAUUGCGCCCGCCAGUAUUCUGGCGGGCAUGCCUGUUCGAGCGUCAUUUCAACCAUCAAGCCCUGCUUGCGUUGGGGUCCUGCGGCUGCCCGCAGGCCCUGAAAACCAGUGGCGGGCUCGCUAGUCACACCGAGCGCAGUAAUACAUCUCGCUUUGGGCGUGCGGCGGGUUCUUGCCGUUAAACACCCCCUUUUUACCAAGGUUGACCUCGGAUCAGGUAGGAAUACCCGCUGAACUUAAGCAUAUCAAUAAGCGGAGGA
rnacentral:misc_RNA from 1 species